GAUGAACGCUGGCGGCGUGCCUAAUACAUGCAAGUAGAACGCUGAAGGAGGAGCUUGCUCUUCUGGAUGAGUUGCGAACGGGUGAGUAACGCGUAGGUAACCUGCCUGGUAGCGGGGGAUAACUAUUGGAAACGAUAGCUAAUACCGCAUGACAACAGUUAUUGCAUGAUAACUGUUUAAAAGGGGCAACUGCUCCACUACCAGAUGGACCUGCGUUGUAUUAGCUAGUUGGUGAGGUAACGGCUCACCAAGGCGACGAUACAUAGCCGACCCGAGAGGGUGAUCGGCCACACUGGGACUGAGACACGGCCCAGACUCCUACGGGAGGCAGCAGUAGGGAAUCUUCGGCAAUGGACGGAAGUCUGACCGAGCAACGCCGCGUGAGUGAAGAAGGGUGUCGGAUCGUAAAGCUCUGUUGUAAGAGAAGAACGAGUGUGAGAGUGGAAAGUUCACACUGUGACGGUAUCUUACCAGAAAGGGACGGCUAACUACGUG
rnacentral:rRNA from 1 species